AAAGCUGAGCUGAGAGCUGAGGAUUGGGGAAGUGGGGAAGGACUGUUCUACUAUGACCGACCUUGAUUGAAUAGCUACAGAAUUCAUUGGAGAACCCAGCAGCUUUUCACUGAGCAAGGAACUGAUCACACUAAAGUGUAAGAAGUGGAUUUAUUUAGAGAGACACACAAUCCAGAGAGUGGACCGCCUCAGAAGGUGAAACUUUAUCCUUGGUCAGCUUGGGGUAUUGCAUUGCAAACCAAUCAAUCCUGCCUGAUCUUUCAAAGUCUGCAAAAACCUAAGUGAGCUGUUACACAGCCUGCCCAAAGGACAUGGGCUUCGUCGUCUACAACACAGAAGAAGAGAUCCAAUCUUAAGUUGAGACAAAAAAACUGGGUUGUUUGUCAUGUGGAGUUUCCUAGAGUCAGAAUUUGGCUGACUCUAUCCAAUUAUAUUGUUUAACAUGUUCUGUUCAACAUGCUCCAUACCUUUUCUGCAAAGUGGUAAGUAGUGCUUGAUCAGAUUCAGAUUUGAGUUUUUAAAAGACAAAAAACUUCAUUUGUGGUGUUGUGGAUUUUAUCAGGAGAAACACAGUAACUAGAUAUUUCUCAUUUUGUGUUGCUAGCAGCCAUUGGGGAUCAUUACAUGCCUCACUCCCCCCCACACCUUUUUUUCAUUAAGGGCUGCAAAAUAGAGAUAUACUAAUUCUAUAAUUUCCUCUCUGUUUAUUAGCUGGAAUAUUCUUGUUAAGAGAAACUUUCUCUCUUCAACUAUUUAGUUACCAAUUGGCACGGUUUUUAUGGAAAAGGAAAGAUAAGAGCUAGAUUCUGUCUCAUAGUUACAAAAAUUAAAGUGUAACUGAUUUAAACACCAAUGGAUCCCUUUUAAACUGAGAAAAAGGAAAUAUAGAAUUUAUGACUCUCCUUUUCCUCCAAAUCAGAAUUAAAGUUUUUACCAAAAUCCCAAAAGCAGACCUCAGAAGGUGAAGCCAAGUGUAUUUUAGAAUCUUCUAAAAGAAAAAAACUCACUUUCUUUGUCAAUUAUACUGUUCUAGAAGAUUCUGCUCUCUGAAUGUGAACCCUUUGAGUCCGGGUAUAAGGCAGCCCUGGGGUGCCUACACCACAUGGUUAUCAAACUUCACAUGGAGCACAAUAAGGAAACUAAUAUUCCUUUUGCUAAGACCGCCCAUGUUCCAAUUUAAAAAAUAUAGUUAAAAGUAAGUUUAGUUUAAAAAAUGUGUUACUAUCUCUGACAUAUGUUGUUUAUGUCUCAGAUAAAUGAUAGCAUUUCUUUACCUGGGGUAAGCCAUAAAUCUUAAAUCUUUGAAGCUACAUGAAUAUAAUUGAUCAUUUGUAAUUGCAGUUAUUGUGAGAUGUAUAACCCAAGUGCAGUGGUAACAAAACUUACAAGUGCUUACAAGUCAAUCUCAGCUUGUGUAGGCGUUUUAGAGAAGCAAUAACUAAAUAUUAAGAAAUAAACAUAUAACUGCCCAACAAGUUUUGCCUUGCUCAUGCAGAGAAGAUUUUUCAAAUUUCCACCUCAGAAUAUUUUGUAUAAUUUCAAAUAUAAUUGUAUUUUCUAUUAUAUGAUUCAUGAAAACGGCAGCAAGUCUGAUUCCAGAACCUCAGUAGUCUGAAAAUGUUGUAGAGUUAUUUGUCUUUUUUAUUUACAGAGAUUGGGGUUGAGUAUGUCAAAUUGGGGUACAGUGUACAAAGUCUUAUAAAGGUUUUUCAUUUAAGCUUUAUAAUGAAUUUUUGUACUAGCAGCUAUAACUUCAUAAAAAUGCACAGUGUUCAAAAGCAUGCAUUGUUGUUUGGAUGUAAAAGCUACUUAUUCAUAUUCACAUGCGUGUCUGUGUGUAUGUACAAAUACACAAAAGUCACUGUAAAAAAUGGAAGGCAUACAUACCCAUCCUUCCCUCUAGCAGCAAGUCAAAAGAAUUUUUAGCUCAGUCUCUGAGGAUUUCUUUCUAUUACAAAUAUGAAAGUGGAAUGUUUAAAAAAAAGUCUAAAAUUUAAUAAUAAUAUAAAAGCUACCCAAGACUGCGUUCUGCCUGAUGGCUCCAGAGAGUAGAAAGAGAUUAUGUUAAAGCAUAAAUGGAGCUUUAACAUUUUUAAAUCCAGAAGGUCUAAUCUAAUCUAAUCCUUUUCAAUCCAAUUUUUUAAAAUGCAUCCUAGACAUCAGAUUAAAGCAUGUGCUUUGCUUUCUAGGCCAUUUUAAACAGACUCAGCAUCUGUGCUUCUGACCCUCCAUGUAGCAGUUAAAAAAAAAAAAAAUGAUUUAGAAAAAACAAAAAUAGAAUAAACCAUGUGUGUGUAUAUGUGUGUAUACGUGUGUGUAUAAAUAUAUAUAUAUGAUUUUGCUAAGACUGAUUAAAGAAUGAUUACUGUAUAUUUUUAUUUAAAAAAAAUUUUUUUUACUUUAUAUAUUUUUUUUUUGCGGUACGCGGGCCUCUCACUGCUGUGGCCUCUCCGGUUGCGGAGCACAGGCUCCAAACGCGCAGGCUCAGCGGCCAUGGCUCACGGGCCUAGCCGCUCCGCGACGUGUGAGAUCUUCUCGGACCGGGCAUGAACCCAUGGCCCCUGCAUCGGCAGGCGGACUCUCAACCACUGUGCCACCAGGGAAGCCCCUAGAAAAAACAAAAAUAGAAUAAACCA